AUUGAACGCUAGCGGGAUGCCUUACACAUGCAAGUCGAACGGAGUGGCGAACGGGUGAGUAAUGUAUCGGAACGUGCCCAGUAGCGGGGGAUAACUACGCGAAAGCGUAGCUAAUACCGCAUACUAUUGGAGCGGCCGAUAUCGGAUUAGCUAGUUGGUGGGGUAAGGGCUAACCAAGGCGACGAUCCCUAGCUGGUCUGAGGGGGUGAUCCGCCACACUGGGACUGAGGCACGGGCCAAGCUCCUACGGGAGGGAGGCGUAGGGGAACUUUGGAAAUGGGGGGAAGGCUGACCGAACAAAGCCGGGGGGGUGAAGAAGGGUUUCGGGUCGUUAAGCUCUGUUGUGAGGGGAGCGGUAACUAACCAGAAAGCGACGGCUAACUACGUGCCAGCAGCCGCGGUAAUAC
rnacentral:rRNA from 1 species